GCCAGCAGCUGUUUCAUCCUCCAACUCACAAGAGGCAACUCACUGAAGAUAAGCAGGUACAGAUUGAGCCUGGCAAGUACAUGGACGGGAGACCUCCUGGGAAAGCUAAGGUUGCUGCUGGAA
rnacentral:rRNA from 1 species